rnacentral:rRNA from 1 species
GAUGAACGCUGGCGGCGUGCCUAAUACAUGCAAGUCGAGCGAACAGACGAGGAGCUUGCUCCUCUGACGUUAGCGGCGGACGGGUGAGUAACACGUGGAUAACCUACCUAUAAGACUGGGAUAACUUCGGGAAACCGGAGCUAAUACCGGAUAAUAUAUUGAACCGCAUGGUUCAUUAGUGAAAGACGGUUUUGCUGUCACUUAUAGAUGGAUCCGCGCCGCAUUAGCUAGUUGGUAAGGUAACGGCUUACCAAGGCAACGAUGCGUAGCCGUCCUGAGAGGGUGAUCGGCCACACUGGAACUGAGACACGGUCCAGACUCCUACGGGAGGCAGCAGUAGGGAAUCUUCCGCAAUGGGCGAAAGCCUGACGGAGCAACGCCGCGUGAGUGAUGAAGGUCUUCGGAUCGUAAAACUCUGUUAUUAGGGAAGAACAAAUGUGUAAGUAACUAUGCACGUCUUGACGGUACCUAAUCAGAAAGCCACGGCUAACUACGUG